UGGGGAAUAUUGCACAAUGGGGGAAACCCUGAUGCAGCGACGCCGCGUGAGCGAAGAAGGCUUUCGAGUCGUAAAGCUCUGUCCUAUGAGAAGAUAAUGACGGUAUCAUAGGAGAAAGCCCUGGCUAAAUACGUGCCAGCAGCCGCGGUAAUACGUAUGGGGCGAGCGUUGUCCGGAAUUAUUGGGCGUAAAGGGUACGUAGGCGGUUUUUUAAGUCAGGUGUCAAAGCGUGGAGCUUAACUCCAUUAAGCACUUGAAACUGAAAGACUUGAGUGAAGGAGAGGAAAGUGGAAUUCCUAGUGUAGCGGUGAAAUGCGUAGAUAUUAGGAGGAAUACCGGUGGCGAAGGCGACUUUCUGGACUUUUACUGACGCUCAGGUACGAAAGCGUGGGGAGCAAACAGG
rnacentral:rRNA from 1 species